GACGAACGCUGGCGGCGUGCCUAAUACAUGCAAGUCGAACGCAGUGGGGACGGGUGAGUAACACGUGGGUAACCUCCCAUCAGAGGGGAUAACACUUGGAAACGGGUGCUAAACCGAUAUUGAUGGUUGGACCCGCGGUGCAUGAGCUAGUUGGUGAGGUAACGGCUCACCAAGGCCACGAUGCAUAGCCGACCUGAUAGGGGGAGCGGCCACACGGGGACGGGGACACGGACCAGACUCCUACGGGAGGCAGCAGUAGGGAAUCUUCGGAAAUGGACGAAAGUCUGACCGAGCAACGCCGCGUGAGUGAAGAAGGUUUUCGGAUCGUAAAACUCUGUUGUUAGAGAAGCGGUAUCUAACCAGAAAGCCACGGCUAACUACGUGCCAGCCGCCGCGGUAAUUC
rnacentral:rRNA from 1 species